UACGGAGGGAGCUAGCGUUGUUCGGAAUUACUGGGCGUAAAGCGUGCGUAGGCGGUUAUUCAAGUCAGAGGUGAAAGCCCGGGGCUCAACCCCGGAACGGCCUUUGAAACUAGGUAACUAGAAUCUUGGAGAGGUUAGUGGAAUUCCGAGUGUAGAGGUGAAAUUCGUAGAUAUUCGGAAGAACACCAGUGGCGAAGGCGACUAACUGGACAAGUAUUGACGCUGAGGUACGAAAAGCGUGGGGAGCAAACAGGG
rnacentral:rRNA from 1 species